rnacentral:lncRNA from 1 species
CGCGACAACCGGAAGUGCUCCUGAGUCCUGACAGGGCUGGGACUCCACCGAGGGAGCGGGGAGCGUGACCUUCAGGGGCCCUGGACUAUGCCUCCCUGGGACUGAGCCGGGCAGCCUCAGGGACAGACGUGGUUUGUGUUUGACCCGUCAGAUUUACUUGACGGUCUCCAUGUCCCAGGCCCUCGGCCUUCCUUCAGGUUCACUUCGGAGCCUUCUUCUUCCUAAAACCCCAAGUCCAGAAGAUUUUCCUCUUCUUUGGCCAAACUCAGCCCUCCGGCCUUGUAUUUCCUUCAGACCCUUGUUCUCUGACAGCAAGCUUUCCUGAUCAACCAACCUCUGUCAAUGGGCGACGAUAAAGAUCUUUAUUCAGGACACCAAGAACCUGGAAAGAAUCCCUGGAAAGCAUCUACAGAACCGCAGAACCUGGUAACAGUUACAGUUGUGCUUCAACAAACACACAACCAUGAAAGUAACCCCCCCCCUAGUCAGCCCCACCAGGGAGGUCUCCUCUGCAAAGCCACUCAGGCCACACCAGCCCACGAGGAGGUAUCCCCGUUGUGAGACGCACAGCCCUGCCUCCACCAUUCAUCUAGAAGCCAUCAUGCUCUUCUCCGUGCUGUUCAUUAUCUCUCUGCAUGUGGUGUCACUUAGCCCAGCCAGGCCUUCCUUGCUGAUUUCUAACAGACUUACAUCCAGGCCCAGUAAUGUAAAUGUUCAAUUUUAAAAUAAUGUAAGUAUACACCAGUGAAUAACAAUGAAAAGAAAAAUGUGCCUUUUUUUAUAGGGUCCAACGGCAGGGGGCUUUUCUUGGAUCUUGCUUUGGAUUUUCUAGAUAUUCCCAUUAAUGAAGAGGAUAUAAUUCCAACACAGCUUUGUCAGAAAAAUUGUCAGAAAUGGAAAUAACGUGAGAGAUGGAGGCUUGGUUCUGGAACUGUGGUGAAAGGCUCCUAGACAUGUCGCGACAGUCUAAUUAAGGUAAGGUUACCUGACUAGAAACUGCCAUUGUGUACCUGGAACUCUAUCUUUAAAGCCUUGUUAGGUUAAUGCUAUGGUUGGAAUGUUUGUCC